UCCGGAGGGGGCUAUCGUUGUUCGGAAUCACUGGGCGUAAAGCGCACGUAGGCGGAUUUGUUAGUCAGGGGUGAAAUCCCGGGGCUCAACCUCGGAACUGCCUUUGAUACUGCAGAUCUCGAGUCCGGAAGAGGUGAGUGGAAUUCCUAGUGUAGAGGUGAAAUUCGUAGAUAUUAGGAAGAACACCAGUGGCGAAGGCGGCUCACUGGUCCGGUACUGACGCUGAGGUGCGAAAGCGUGGGGAGCAAACAGG
rnacentral:rRNA from 1 species